CCUCAACUUUAACAACCAAAGCACUUAAUAAGCUGGUUACAUGAACGGGGCUUCUCAAAUUUUGAAUUCCUCUUCUGCCGUUCUCUCUCUACAUUCAGAUCUAGGGGAUUACAUAAAAUAGAAGAAAGGAUCUGGAUGAAACCCUAAAAUGUUCUGCAGUUCUCUCUCUAAGAUCACUAGCUACAACAAAUCGAUAGGUGAUUAAAAUGGUUGAAGUGGUUGUCUUCUUGUUUGCCACCAGCGGUGGUGAUUGACGGUAGUUUUGGCAAAGCUCCGGCAGUGGUUUAUAGAAGUGGUGGUAGCCAUCUCCAACUUGAGCAGAGGAGAAGAAAGUCCAAUUUUGACUUUUAGAAGUCAAAUGAGUUGGUUUCCUUGAUAAGAAAACUUGGGGAACUUGUUUGAUUUUAACAAAAAUAAAUGACUUUUGCAUUUGAAUUAUUUAUGCAGAUGCAAUUUAACUAUUUUAGAGCUACAUGGGUCAAGAUUUUUGGGUCAAUUUUGAAUUUGGAAAGCAACAAGGUUGAUUUCUGAAUAACUAAAGUUAUUGAAAUUGUCAACUUGUGAUGAUUUACACAGAGGGUUCCCAAUUUGCUUGAAGUGUGUCUUGGCAUUAGUUCACAACUGAUACUGAUCCAUAUAAUGUCACAUAUUCUCGCUUUUUACUUUUAUUUUAUUUGUUUUUUUUUAAUCUUUUACGUGAACACAAUCUUAGUUUACUUAAUGAAGAGUGAAAAGAUGUUUGAUCACAAGGAGGCUUGAUUUUUCUUUCUUAGGUAUAAACAUUUUAUUUAUACAAUAUAUAACCUUAUUUGUGUAUUUAAUUAUUGAUUCGGUAAUCAUUGAAUUUGGACUUAUGACAUUUUUUUUAUAAAGUUCAUGAAAUUAUUGGGUUUUAAAGUUGAUUACAGAUUAUUUGAAUGAUGGUUGGUGCAAGUUGAGAAUGAGUACGGAUCUAUAGGAAAGGUGUAUGGAGGUGCAACUACAUGACUUGGGUUGCAAACAUGGCGGUUAAAUUGGACACCCCACGGAUAAACACAUGCAAUGGUCUUUAGUGUGAUGACUUUUUUCCCAACAAGCCCAGAAUUUGGACCGAGGCUUGGAGUGGCUGGUAUGUAAUUUUGUUUACUUUCUUUUGUAACUUCAUCAAGAUCAUAUGCUUAUGGGGUCAUAAUCAAGUUGUAACACGGCGUUGGGUUGUAGUAAUUGGGUUGUAAGUGUUUGAAGUUGCUUAUGACAAGUUGUUUAUUACAAAAAACACAUGCAUUUAUAUAUUGAUGAUUAAGAGUUUUAAGCAACAAAAUAAAAAGUUUUAUGUGUACGCAGCAACAAUAAUUCGUGAAAAAAAAAUUCAUCUGCUUUAUUGGCACUUAUAUACCACAUAGAAACCAUAGAUUGUACACAUGUGCUGGUUCGCGUUAUGCUUAUAGUUUCUCUUGCAUUUUCAUGUUUAUAAUUUGUUACAAAAGUAUAACGGAAUCUAGCCUUUUACAAUUUUCUUUUCUGAAAUUUAUGAUUAUUCAAUGUGUUAAUCUUGUUAACAAAACUAUGAUAUUUCAACCAACUUGACAUGUUUUAGCCAAGUUUUUUUUAUUUGACCCGGUAUAAGCCAUGUUUAGAUAGACCGGUUGAAGUUGCCAUAUCCAAAGUACACAUAAAUACAUUAUCGAGUAACUGCAAAAUCUUUAUUGCAGUGUAGUCACAAUUCAAAAGCAAAUGGCACCAAGAUGCUUGAGGAGGUUGAAAGGUAUGUAUCGACUACAGUAAAAAAACGAGAAUAAAAUGGAGUUUAGUAGGAUUCUGGAAGCUACUAAGGUUUGUUUUCGUCAUAAAAUAACUGUUUUAUUUAGCCUUUUUAAGAUCAGAUGAGUUAUAAUAUGUUUUUAUUUUCAUCAUUUUUAGGCCAACUUUAAUAUGAAGGUAUAGGAAGAAGAGGGGCGGUGGAAUUAUGGGUUCCAAAUCUCAGGCAAAAACGAAGGCGAAAGAGCGGGUUUUGGCCAAGGAGGUUGCUCAGAGAAUGAAUUAGAUGUUUUGGUAUUGUAUUGCAUUGCAUGCAUUUGAUGAUGUCUUGUAAUGCUUUGCAUUUAGGAACUUGUGUUUUUAGAACUUUAAAUGGUUGUUUGAUACUUCUGGAAGUUAAAAUAUUUAAUGUUGAACUUGCUUUUGCAGUUUUGA